rnacentral:rRNA from 1 species
CUGCACUCAAAGCCUGAUCUUGUCACAUCUCAGAAGCUAAGCAGGGCCGGGCCUGGUUAGAACGUAGAUGAGAAACCACUGGGAAACCCAGGU